AAGAGCCGGAUGCGGGAAAGCCGCACGUCCGGUUCUGGGAGGGGCGUGCCUCGUAAGGGGCACGUCUACUCGAC
rfam:Lachnospiraceae bacterium M18-1 genomic scaffold acPFy-supercont1.4, whole genome shotgun sequence.